rnacentral:rRNA from 1 species
GGAUUAGAUACCCCGGUAGUCCACGCGGUAAACGAUGUCAACUAGCCGUUGGGAGGGUAAUCCUUUUAGUGGCGCAGCUAACGCACUAAGUUGACCGCCUGGGGAGUACGGUCGCAAGAUUAAAACUCAAAUGAAUUGACGGGGGCCCGCACAAGCGGUGGAGCAUGUGGUUUAAUUCGACGCAACGCGAAGAACCUUACCUACUCUUGACAUCCAGAGAACUUUCCAGAGAUGGAUUGGUGCCUUCGGGAGCUCUGAGACAGGUGCUGCAUGGCUGUCGUCAGCUCGUGUCGUGAGAUGUUGGGUUAAGUCCCG